UACGUAGGGGGCAAGCGUUGUCCGGAUUUAUUGGGCGUAAAGAGCGUGUAGGCGGCCAUACAGGUCCGUUGUGAAAACUCGAGGCUUAACCUCGAGACGUCGAUGGAAACCGUAUGGCUAGAGUCCGGAAGAGGAGAGUGGAAUUCCUGGUGUAGCGGUGAAAUGCGCAGAUAUCAGGAGGAACACCGAUUGCGAAGGCAGCUCGCUGGGACGUAACUGACGCUGAGACGCGAAAGCGUGGGGAGCGAACAGG
rnacentral:rRNA from 1 species